GACGAACGCUGUCGGCGUGCUUAACACAUGCAAGUCGAACGAAGUGGAGAACGGGUGAGUAACGCGUAAGCAAACUGCCCUUCAGAGGGGGACAACAGUUAGAAACGACUGCUAAUACCGCAUACUGAAGGAGGUGAGUGCGUCUGAUUAGAUAGUUGGAGGGGGAACGGCCCACAAAGGCGAUGAUCAGUAGCCGGUCUGAGGGGAUGAACGGCCAAAUUGGGACUGAUGCACGGCCCAGACUCCUACGGGAGGCAGCAGUGGGGAAUCUUCCGCAAUGGACGAAAGUCUGACGGAGCAACGCCGCGUGAGUGAUGACGGCCUUCGGGUUGUAAAGCUCUGUUAAUCGGGACGCGGUACCGGAAUAGAAAGCCACGGCUAACUACGUGCCAGCAGCCGCGGUAAUAC
rnacentral:rRNA from 1 species